rnacentral:rRNA from 1 species
GAUGAACGCUGGCGGCGUGCCUAAUACAUGCAAGUCGAGCGAACAGAUGAGGAGCUUGCUCCUCUGACGUUAGCGGCGGACGGGUGAGUAACACGUGGAUAACCUACCUAUAAGACUGGGAUAACUUCGGGAAACCGGAGCUAAUACCGGAUAAUAUAUUGAACCGCAUGGUUCAAUAGUGAAAGACGGUUUUGCUGUCACUUAUAGAUGGAUCCGCGCCGCAUUAGCUAGUUGGUAAGGUAACGGCUUACCAAGGCAACGAUGCGUAGCCGACCUGAGAGGGUGAUCGGCCACACUGGAACUGAGACAUGGUCCAGACUCCUACGGGAGGCAGCAGUAGGGAAUCUUCCGCAAAGGGCGAAAGCUUGACGGAGCAACGCCGCGUGAGUGAUGAAGGUCUUCGGAUCGUAAAACUCUGUUAUUAGGGAAGAACAAAUGUGUAAGUAACUAUGCACGUCUUGACGGUACCUAAUCAGAAAGCCACGGCUAACUACGUG